rnacentral:lncRNA from 1 species
AAAUUCAGUGCAGCAAAAUUAGAGACUAGGGACUCUGUCCCAGGGGAAGGAUGAAUGUCAUUGUUGAGGUACACAAAAGCAAGGGAAACGGCUGCUUCUGCCAGAGCCUCACAGAAGAGCAACUCCUGGGUCAAUGGAUUGUCCUCAGCUUUGCAAGACCAGCCACCUGCUCUUCUUUCAUUGAAUGCAGAUGUUAUCACCUCUGAGGAUGACAAAUCAGUUUCUUCCCACCUGGUCAGACUGGACUUUGUGUUGUCUACUGAUGAACCCACUGAAGAUCCUUUUCUUCUCUUUAUCUUUUUAUCCAACAGUUGAGCUGUAAGUGCCAAAAAAAAAUAUUUUGUAUGAGCAAGAUGGAAAAACAUUAUGCACUUCCCACACCACAGCAGUGAAUGCUUUCAAAAGGCUACUUACCAAAGUGAGUCUUCCUUUGACUCCAAAAGCAGCCACAUUGCUUAGUAAGGCUGUCUUUGGCUAUCUAGGAUUGUCAAUUGUUGGCAUCAAAAUGGAUGAUAUUUUCAACCUCUUGCUUCUAC